GAAGAUGGUCAUACUAAUCUGCUAACUUAGUACUACAGCUUGACACGCUGACAUCCUC
rnacentral:tRNA from 1 species